AUGUGAAACUUCAUAUGAAAUAUCAUCACAUGUGAAGUGUUCUAAAGCCACAUGGUUUCACAUGUGCAAUAUGUGAGAAUUUCACAUGUAAAAACAUGGUGAUUUUCCACAUGUGGAAUCAUGUGUUUGUUUUUGUAAGGGGGGUUGGCCAUUUUGCUGUUUUAUUAAAUCGCAGAAUGUAUCUUCAAAUGUGUACAUGAAAUUAUUAUUGUACAAAUAUUAUUUGCGUUGAUAUUUACAAUCCUUUGUCAUCUUUUACAGUGGGAGCUCCAUCACAGCUACAGAUCUCUUAUCUCUAUCUGACUUUGAUGCCUUUGCCUACAUUCCAGUGCCCUCGUGAACUUACACAAUGGCUAUAAUAAAUAUUCUAAAGCUCAUAGAGAGCUGAAAGUUAAGUGGCUGAACAUUGAACCACGUAACAGCCUGUUUGACCCGGAUACCCUCCCUGUAGUCACUUUAUCAUUGAAUAUAAAGUAUCAUAUGUUUCUCAGCUCUUGUUGAACAUCAUUUAAACAGUGGUUGCUCCUUAGCAAUCAUGAGUUUCCUCGGUGACCAUGCUAUGGAUAUACUACAGAGUUUUCUAAUAUUAAUGGCUCUUAUAGCAAAUACAGCCUCAUCAACUGAUUUCACUAUAACAUCUAAAGAGAAAAUUCAUCCACCAACAGAUGGGAUAACAACAUUUAAAAUGGGGCUGAAAAACCCAGACAGACUCAAAACAAAUAUAAAUGCAUCUGUGAGGAAUAUGGUGGCAGCAACAAGUGCCUUGCAGGAAAUAAAACCCUCACAACCUCCUACGGUUACAAAUGAGUCUGCCACUAAUAAUGAACAAUCUUCAGCAGUCAAGGAAGGGAAAAUAUCGGCCACUACCGUUGGACUCUCAUCUACCCAGAGAACUGAAAGUACAACUGCAGAGCCAACUGACUCCACAACUGCAGCGGGAACGACCCUUGAAGAUCACACAACAACGUUAGAAAUGUCAACAAUUCCAGCUGAAACAACUACCAUUGUUACACAAGAACCAUCAGCUAGCCCAGAUACUGUGACAAGCCCAUCUCCCACAAUCACUACUGGUCACACAACAGUGCCCUCUGANNNNNNNNNNAUAAUGAACAAGAUAUGGGGGACCUGAUCCUAAAUCAACACCCGUACUCUGAGACACUUUGUGAAUACAGGCCCUGGAGUGUGUUUUACAUGGCAUUUAGUUUUCAGAAUGUUUUUACAUUGAAAUAAUAAUAAUACAGUAUUUUAUUUAACUCACGGACUCUACAAGAUGUGUAAAUACGUCAAUUUUCAGUGCAUUUGUAA
rnacentral:lncRNA from 13 species